rnacentral:rRNA from 1 species
CGACCCCAGGUCGGGCGGGGUUACCCGCUGAAUUUAAGCA